ensembl:lncRNA RNF213-AS1 RNF213 antisense RNA 1
UGGAGACGCUUGCGCUUUCCCGGGCCGCACUUCCCACCCGGGUCUUCAGAAGCCCGUGGCCGCUGGGUGAGCCCCUGCGUGAACGCACACGCACGCACACGGCUUCAGGUUGCCCCGCGGCGCCGCGCGCGAUAUCGGCUCGGAUCCCGGGAGGCCGUCCGCCCCUUUUUCAGCGGAUAGCUGAGGCCAGUUUUUAGUAUGAAAAACUGUAAACACGAAAUUAGAGGAAGAGUCCAGCACCUGCCAUUUGGCCACUGUCCAGACCUACUGUGUGCUUCUUGGGGAAAAACUUUACAGCUUUGAAUGGCUGAGAGGUUUGGAAAGAAACAGCUCAGUCCCCAUGGCCCGGAUGGAGAGAGGAUCCCUGCAGGCAGGUCCCCAUGCUGCCACCAGAUUGGAGCCACUCCUUGCUUCCUUUAGUCACAGUACCUGAAUGUGCCCGCCUCCUGGAGAGCGUCCUGGUUGCAGGCUUCCCUUGCCAACCACUCCAGAGGGUGAAACUGGCUCUCUUCUUGCUUCUUUAAAAAGACACUGAGGCGCAUCUUGGAUACCCGCAAGAAAGAGGCUGU